UCUUAUCUUCCUUAUCCUUAUCUUCCUUAUCUUUCUCUUUUAAUCUUCCUUAUCUUUCUCGGAGCCGAGCCGAAAUAGCUCGGGGCUUAGCUGCGUAGGCUCGGAGCCAUUCUAAAUGGCUCGGAGUCGAGCUCUAUUGGCACGGAUAAGGAAGAAGAUGCGGGGAUAAAUAUAAGGAAGAUUAAGAAGAUAAAGAUAAGGAUAAGGAAGACAAGAAGUUAAAGAUAAGGAUAAGGAUAAGGAAAAUAAAGAUAAGGAUAAGGAAGAUAAGAAGAGAAAGAUAAGGAAGAUAAGAAGAGAAAGAUAAGGAAGAUAAGGAUAAGGAAGAUAAGGAUAAGGAAGAUAAGGAUAAGGAAGAUAAGAAGGAAAGAUAAGGAAGAUAAAGAUAAGAAGAUAAAGGUAAGGAAGAUAAGAAGAUAAAGAUAAGGAAGAUAAGAAGUUAAAGAUAAAG